rnacentral:rRNA from 1 species
GACGAACGCUGGCGGCGUGCCUAAUACAUGCAAGUAGAACGCUGAAGGAGGAGCUUGCUUCUCCGGAUGAGUUGCGAACGGGUGAGUAACGCGUAGGUAACCUGCCUGGUAGCGGGGGAUAACUAUUGGAAACGAUAGCUAAUACCGCAUAACAGUAGAUGUUGCAUGACAUUUGCUUAAAAGGUGCAAUUGCAUCACUACCAGAUGGACCUGCGUUGUAUUAGCUAGUUGGUGAGGUAACGGCUCACCAAGGCGGCGAUACAUAGCCGACCUGAGAGGGUGAUCGGCCACACUGGGACUGAGACACGGCCCAGACUCCUACGGGAGGCAGCAGUAGGGAAUCUUCGGCAAUGGACGGAAGUCUGACCGAGCAACGCCGCGUGAGUGAAGAAGGGUGUCGGAUCGUAAAGCUCUGUUGUAAGAGAAGAACGAGUGUGAGAGUGGAAAGUUCACACUGUGACGGUAUCUUACCAGAAAGGGACGGCUAACUACGUG